rnacentral:lncRNA from 1 species
UUUUAGCUAGUAUCCAAUCUUGUGUGCCUCCCUCAAUAUUGUCAUGAAAAGAACACCCCUCCAAAUCUGUGUAGGUUGGUGAAAGAAGAGCUGCUCACCUUCUGCUGAUGGUUGCUCCAGCUAGGGGGCCUAGGUAAAACCCAAGACAAGGCAACAGAACGCUGAUGUCCUGAAAUCCAGAAGAGACUGCUUUGUUUGACUGAUGUGUUUACCAAGAGGAGAUCAAAUGAUAAAGAGAAGAGUCUGUCUGGCUUUUACUAGAGGCCUUUGAGGAAGACAGGAGAUGCAUGCAGUGUUUUUUUUUUGAAAUGUUGUCACCGGGUGUCAUUCUCCUGUGGGGUGCUGCAGGAUGAGUCUUGGAGGUGGAGGCCUGGAGCGUGAGAGAGCUCAGCUGAAACGAUUUAAACUUUCACGUCCAUUGAACCGGACGGACACUUGCUCUCAACAGAACUGGCACUUACCCAGCCCAGUCUUGGACCACAAUGCCACUGGGUUAAAAAUUCCAACCCAAACUUAAAUGGCUUCUCAGGUUAGUAUGGUUCAGGCUCUUUAGUUUCUAGCAUGCAAGGGAACUAGGUGGCUAUCAUCAUGUCUGGUCCAGUUGAAACAACAGGGUACCCAUUUCCAUCAGGGUUAGCUUCAGGGGGGCCUUCAUCAUAAGUCCAGAGCAAGUCUUGGACUCCUGUCUCUAGAGUAAUAACAAGAUGCUGUACCCUCUCUACCACCACACUCCUCCUCAUUGGGCUAAGCUUGG